rnacentral:rRNA from 1 species
ACCCAAGAGUGGGGGAUAACGUAGCGAAAGUUACGCUAAUACCGCAUACGAUCUAAGGAUGAAAGCAGGGGAUCUUCGGACCUUGUGCUCCUGGAGCGGCCGAUAUCUGAUUAGCUAGUUGGUGAGGUAAAGGCUCACCAAGGCCACGAUCAGUAGCUGGUCUGAGAGGACGACCAGCCACACUGGAACUGAGACACGGUCCAGACUCCUACGGGAGGCAGCAGUGGGGAAUUUUGGACAAUGGGCGAAAGCCUGAUCCAGCAAUGCCGCGUGAGUGAAGAAGGCCUUCGGGUUGUAAAGCUCUUUUGUCAGGGAAGAAACGGUUUGGGCUAAUAUCCUGAGCUAAUGACGGUACCUGAAGAAUAAGCACCGGCUAACUACGUGCCAGCAGCCGCGGUAAUACGUAGGGUGCAAGCGUUAAUCGGAAUUACUGGGCGUAAAGCGUGCGCAGGCGGUUUUGUAAGUCUGACGUGAAAUCCCCGGGCUCAACCUGGGAAUUGCGUUGGAGACUGCAAGGCUAGAAUCUGGCAGAGGGGGGUAGAAUUCCACGUGUAGCAGUGAAAUGCGUAGAGAUGUGGAGGAACACCGAUGGCGAAGGCAG